rnacentral:rRNA from 1 species
UACGUAGGGUGCAAGCGUUGUCCGGAAUUAUUGGGCGUAAAGAGCUCGUAGGCGGUCUGUCGCGUCGAAUGUGAAAACCCGGGGCUCAACCCCGGGCCUGCAUUCGAUACGGGCAGACUAGAGUUCGGUAGGGGAGUCUGGAAUUCCUGGUGUAGCGGUGAAAUGCGCAGAUAUCAGGAGGAACACCGGUGGCGAAGGCGGCAUUCUGGACUGCAACUGACACUGAGGAACGAAAGCCAGGGGAGCAAACGGG